CUUGCACUGAGAAUACAGACCUCCAAGGAUUCCCCAGACUUGGAGCCAAAACAACCCACAUCAGAAUGUGAGACCAGUUUCAUAGUGAGGAAGACACUCCCCUGCAGAGGAUGUCCAGCUGUGUGAGCUUCCUCGCCUGAUCCACUCACG